rnacentral:rRNA from 1 species
AACGGUGGCUAAUACCGCAUAACGUCGCAAGACCAAAGAGGGGGACCUUCGGGCCUCUUGCCAUCAGAUGUGCCCAGAUGGGAUUAGCUUGUUGGUGGGGUAACGGCCCACCAAGGCGACGAUCCCUAGCUGGUCUGAGAGGAUGACCAGCCACACUGGAACUGAGACACGGUCCAGACUCCUACGGGAGGCAGCAGUGGGGAAUAUUGCACAAUGGGCGCAAGCCUGAUGCAGCCAUGCCGCGUGUAUGAAGAAGGCCUUCGGGUUGUAAAG